GCUCUUUUAGCCUUUAUUUUCUUUAAGUUCCCCAGAAAUUUACAAAAAACAAGGCAAGCAAUUAAGGUUUCUGUCAUUAAAUCCCUUUGUCUCUUUAUAAAAUUCCAGGCAGAGCACAUAAACUAAAAAAGUCAAUUUUGUGUAUUAGCAUUUGUCCUUGGAAAAAGCCUCUUUGGAAACCUUUCUGUUGGGAAUGAUGUCAAAAAACCCCUGGAAGUUUGCUCCCUGAUCUGGCUUCUUUCCAUUGGAACAUCUAACGGCUGGGGGGAAUGUCUUUUUUAUUUUGCACGUAUCAACAUCACAGUCCAUUUCUCAAGGCAAUAUAAAAAAAAAGUGCUUAAUAUGACUCAGCCAACUGCAAUUUAACCCUCAAUAAAAGUCUAUUUUUGGCAGAAGGUUCACCUUUCUUUAAAAUUACUGUGAUGACGAGUUAAAGCCAUUUCCUAAAUUUGCUUUGAAUGCUGUUCAUAAUGAGGAUUAAAUUGUUUCAUACCUGCAGCAAAGCUGUUUCUGUGCAGAGGGUUGGGAUCCUUCAAGACUGAUGAUAAGCAGGCAAAGAGCAGACAGAAAAGCCAAUUUUCUCCUAGAAUUCAAACAAGACCUUGUCCAUCUCCUUGAGUAACUUGUCUCUAUUUUCCCAACCCGUGGCAGGAAAUCUUCAGUUCUACAGCUGAUGUCUCAACUCUUGAUCUCCACAUGCCUCAUCCUCACCACAGAACUACUUGUGCAUCCUUUUAGGAUUAAAAAAAAAAUGCACUUGCUUCCCUAAGUGCACAGCAAGGCACUGCACUUUAUCACUUGCAGCCUCACAAAUGGCUCAGGCCAUUAUAGAACAGCCUGCCAGGGUAAAAAAUCCAGGAUACAAUAUUCAUGUACUCUGUGAGACACAGCUACACUUUAUGGUGAUCGACAGAGGCAAGGCAGACUUUCGUUUCAUUAAGAAACUGAGGAUGAAGCAGCCUAUAAACAAAAUUCCUUCAGUGUAGCAGUUACGUUUGAGCCAUUUACAGCAGUACAACCCCUACUCAGGGCUGCCAAAAGCAGAAAUUACCAGUUCAAAGGCUGACCCAGGGGCACUGGGGAAACUGGCAAGGAAUUCUGACAGAAGGACGUUGUACAAACCUCACACAUCCCUCCUGGAGGCAUAAGAUUGGUGUGGAAGAGUUUGAGAUCAAGGUUUGCCAACUUCCAUGAGGAAUCAGUGCCCUGAUUGACCAUGGGUUCAUGGAGCCCUUCUCCCGUCCCACACACACUGAAAUCCCAAACCACACUUCUAAGACCCCCCAAAAUUUCCCCAAAACAGGGAACACCACAGCAGCAGAUGGCUGCUGGCAAAGCAUCUCCCCAACACUGAGCACAAGCCACCAGCAAUUCCCACAAAUAUAUGUAUUGAUGAAGUGAUACAGACAGGAAAUAAAUCCUGCUACUUCCUUAGCACUUUUUAUUAUUAGAACGAUGUUCAUUUAAAGACUCAGUGACAAAUCCUGUCUGGUACAUCAUCACCUUAUCAAAAACCUGUGACAUGUGCAGAGAAUGUUAAGUUAUAUUAAGUAAGCUGUUAACUUGACAAAAUCCAGCCUGCUGCGUUUGGCUGCCUAAGCUGCAGCAGAGAUGGCACAUUGUCAAGGGUGGGAAACACCCUCUCCUCCCCAGCCAAAGCUCCAGAUCCUCAAAACUCAGCAAAAAUCAAGUCAGGUGUCUCAGUCACAUCAGGAGCUCAGCCAUCACACUCCUCUCCAGACCCACGUACAGGCAGCAGUUUUUGGGAUGUGACUGCCACCCAACUGCAGGAAAGGAACGGGCACAGCCAUUGCAACUCCCUUCCCUGGACUCCAAUUAUCCACAACCAAAGAAAGACUGGAUGGAUGCUAACAGGAAGGCAGCUCAAAAGCAAAACCAGAAGAUGCCUCAAAGUGAGAGAGAUUGAGAAAGACAGAAUUUACAGCUUUUUGACUAGUAAUCAAAAGGAGCACUAAGUUGUUCUGCACAGAAGGUAGAGGUGUGACAGCACUGCCAGGGCACCAGGUGGCCCCUGCCAAGGCAGUCAUGCUGAUAACUGGUGCUUCCAGUUAUCAGCAAAUGACUGGGAAUAAUAAAGGAAUGCCAGAGGCAAAUCUUUAAACACCUAGGGAGCACCUUAAUGUCAUUAUUUGGACAUUUUCACUUGUGCUGCAGGAGGCUAAGUGUAGAAACCCAGCGCUACCUCCAGCAAUCAAAACAGCCUUCAAGAGGAGCUCUUUGCAGAACAUCUCAGGGAAUGAAGGUUCCAGCUAACAGCAUGUCCACUUCCUGGAUCCUUGGGAGGAUACUACAGAUCUCCUGUCAGCAGGAUCCCACCAUAACCUGUGAUUUUGAGCAUCAGUGGGAAAAGUGAAAUUCGUCGUUUGCCUCUUUACAUCUCUGAGUGGUUAUAGACACACACAGAGUUCACACAGCCUUGCUAUCUGCAAGAUCCAGGUAAUUAUUCCUUUAAUUUAGUCAUCCACCUAUCCCAGCUAAUUAUAUCAGCAAACAGACAUACUCUGCUUGUUUAUUGAAGGGUUUUUUAAUGUGAAGAGAAACGGAAGCUUCUGACUAACCACGCGUGACUCUGAGCUACAUUAAAAUCACUGUAUUUCAGCAGUUUCUGAGCUGUUCACACCAUCCUAAAAAAGUCUCCAGUCUUUCAACAGUCCAUCCAAUAAAUGAUGUUGUGUACCAGGUAUUCUGGAGGCAUCUCAGCUGCAGCUGAAACCUGGCAGGAUUCAUCGUUUGCCCAAAAUCCUGAGCAUUGCAGGGAAACAAGGCCAAAAAGCACAAAUAACCUCAGGUCUUGACAAGCAAAGCUUCUUCCACUGGUCAGACUCCCAACAGAAACAUGAUGAUGAUGUUUUUGACACACAAGUCUCAUCUGUGCACCACGAAACAACAACAAAAAGGAAGA